rnacentral:rRNA from 1 species
UACAGAGGGGGCAAGCGUUGUUCGGAAUUACUGGGCGUAAAGGGCGCGUAGGCGGCCCGCUAAGUCGAACGUGAAAUCCCCGGGCUCAACCUGGGAAUUGCAUUGGAGACUGCAAGGCUAGAAUCUGGCAGAGGGGGUAGAAUUCCACGUGUAGCAGUGAAAUGCGUAGAGAUGUGGAGGAACACCGAUGGCGAAGGCAGCCCCCUGGGUCAAGAUUGACGCUCAUGCACGAAAGCGUGG